AUGUGGUCUCACCUUAGACAAAUGAGGUUGUACAAAAUUGACUCUGUUCACACAGCAGUGAAUGGGUACCCGCUGGGAUAACAUGGUCAUAUGACUGGU